UACGUAGGUGGCAAGCGUUGUCCGGAAUUACUGGGUGUAAAGGGAGCGUAGGCGGGAAGAUAAGUUGGACGUUUAAUCUAUCGGCUCAACCGAUAUCAGCGUUCAAAACUGUUUUUCUUGAGUGAAGUAGAGGUAAGCGGAAUUCCUAGUGUAGCGGUGAAAUGCGUAAAUAUUAGGAGGAACACCAGUGGCGAAGGCGGCUUACUGGGCUUUAACUGACGCUGAGGCUCGAAAGCGUGGGUAGCAAACAGG
rnacentral:rRNA from 1 species